CCCUGUUUUCUUCUAAGAGUUUUAUAGUUUUAGCUCUUAUUGUUAGGUUUUUGAUCCAUUCUGAGUUAAUUUUUGUAUAUCGUAUAAGGUAAGGGUCCAACUUCAUUCUUUUGCAUGUGGAUAUCCAGUUUUCCCAGCACCAUUUGUUGAAAAGACUGUUCUUUUCCCACUGAAUGGUCUCAGCACCCUUGUUGAAAAUAAUUUGACCAUAAUGUGAGAGUUUACAGGCAGACCUCAGAGAUAUUGUGAGUUUGGUUCCACACUACCACAAUAAAGCAAGUGUCACAAUAAAGCAAGUCACCCAAACAUUUUGGUUUCCCAGUGCAUAUAAAAGUCAUGUUUGCACUGACUGUAGUCUGUUAAGUGUGCAUUAGCAUUAUGUCUCAAAAAUCGAUGUACACACCUUGAUUAAAAAGUACUUUAUUGCUAAAAAAUGGUAACCAUCACCUGGGCCUUCAGUAAGUCAUCAUCUUUGCUGGUGGAGGGUCUUGUGAAAAAUGCAGUAUCUGCAAAGUGCAGUAAGGCAGAGUGCAAUAAAACGAGGUAUGCCUGUAUUUCUGGGCUCUCCGUUCUAGUCCUGUGGUCUGCAUGUCUCUCUUUAUGCCUCUACCACACUUUUGAUUUAUGGUAGCUUUGUAAUAAGUUUUGAAAUGAGGUGUGUGAGACCUCCAAUUUUGUUCUUCUUUUUCAAGGUUGUUUUGGCUAUUUGGGGUCCCAUGAGAUUCCAUUUGAAUUUUAGGAUGGAUUUUUCUAUUUCUACAAAAAAAUGCCAUUGUGAUUUUGAUAGGGAUUGCACUGAAUCUGUAGAUCCCUUUGGGUGGUAUUGACAUCUUAAUAAUCUGAAGACUUUGAGGACUACAUCAUGUUCACUACCCAAAGUCUAAUUGCACAGAAACUGAAAUAUGAUGUACACCUGAAAUUUAUAUAAUGUUAUAAACCACUGUUACCUCACUACAAAACAAAAAUGUCUUCUAGUCCACAAACAUAAGAUGUUUUUCCAUUUAUUUGUGUCUGGUUUAAUUUCUUUCAGCAACAUUUUGUAGUUUUCAGUGUACAAAUCUUUAGCCUCCUUGAUUAAGUUUAUUGCUCUAAGUAUUUUAUUCUUUGUUGCUGUUAUAAAUGGAUUUUCUUAAUUUCCUUUUUAAUAUCUCAUUGUUAGUGCAUAGAAAAGCAACUCAUGUUUAUAUGUUGAUUUUGUAUGCUGCAACUUUCCUGAAUUUAUUAGCUCCUUUUUUUUUUUUUUUGGUAGAAUCUUUAGGGUUUUCUACAUGUAAGAUCAUGCCACCUGAAAACAGAUCAUUUUACUACUUCUUGUCCAAUUUGGAUGCUUUUUCUUUCUUUUUCUUGCCUAAAUGAUCUGGUUAGGACUUCCAGUACUAUGUCGGAUGGAAGUGGUGAGAGUGGGCAUCCUUGUGUUGUUCCUGAUCUUAGAGGAAGAGCUUCUGGUCUUUCAUUCUUGAUUGUGGUGUUCGCUGUGGGAUUUUGUGCAUGGCCUUUAGCAUGUUGAGGCAACUUCCUUCUAUUCCAAGUACUUCUGUCAUGAAGGGGUGUUGAAUUUUGUCAAAUGCGUUUUCUGCAUCAAUUGAAAUUAUGUGUUUUUUCCUUCCUUCUGUUAAUGUGGUGUGUUAAAUUUAUCAAAUGAUGGAUAUCACCCCUUAUUGAAAGUGGAGUAUUGGAGUCUCCUAUUAUAGUAGAGCUGUCUAUUUCUUCCUUCACUGUUCGGUUCAUAUAUGUUUACAAUAUCUUCCUGAUUAAUUCUCAACUUUUAAAAAUUUAAAAACAUGAAGAUGAUGAAAUUAUAGGAUGUCUUGGAUUUACUUUAACAUAAUUCACUCCGUUAGGGGUGGUGAGUCACUAUAGACAGAAGAAGAUUGGCUGGGAGAGUUGGUGAUGGCUGAGGCUGGAAGGACGGGGCACCGGCGUUCACACUGGCAUUCAGCAAGCCACUUCUGUCAGGAGCCAGGGCUUCACGGUUGCUGGCUUUUUGGGGCACAUACUCCUUGAGCCACUCAACUCCAUCAUCGUAGUGCGCAGCAGCCACAGACAGUCCUUCUUUCAGAAGUUUCCAGAGAGAGGAGAGUUCUGAAACCCGAGUCUCUAAAGAAGAGAAAAGCACUUCUCAGAAAGAAAACGCCAAGUGAAUGGUGUUUCCCACCACCUCCCCCUUGCAGAUUUGUUCAGCGACCCUGACGACGCGGGCCCCGGGCGCACGGCCGCUGCCACCGCACAGAUAACGCCUGUCCCUCGGCGCUGCGCCCGCUGACGUAACUCAGGCGUCAUAGAUUAGGUUUCGCCGCGAUUUUCCCCGUUUUCUGCUCAUUUCACAGAGCGCGGGCUGCGUUCCUGGAGCUGCCGCUGGCCGCAGAAGCGCCCCCUCCCCUCCCCUCCCCUGCCCUCCCCCGGGAGACUGAGCGUGAGCGGCCGGCUCCGCAGGCGGGCGCACCCUCCGGGGCGGGGCGCGAGUCGCCCGAGUCUCGAGGCGGCCGAGCCCGCCCGUCGGUUCUCGCCCAGGCCUGAGCCCCGCCCCUUCGCGGCCUCCGUCCGCCGUCGAGCGCGGCCGCCGCGGCGGGAAGCGUGGGGCCCGGCGUCUCCUCCUCCCUCCGGCGCCUCGUCCCGGCCGCCUGGCUCAGGGCCCCGCAGGGCGGGCGGCGCUCGCGGGACGGAGCCCAGGACGCGUGGACCUCCCCGCGUCCGACACGUCGUGGCCGCGACGUGAAGCCGGGCGGGAAGGGGCGGGAGGCGCCGCGGAGGCACGAGCCGCCUGUCCUCUUGCCGGAGCCUCCCGCCGCUCUGGGGCGCGCUGCUCGGCCCUGGUGUCCGGCCUGAAGCAGCCGGGGUGGCUGUGCGGGGACCCGAGGUGGUCUGGGGAGGGAGGGAGGGAGCUGCGGAUUCGGUCCGACUGGAGGGGACAGCGAUUCGCUGGGGACGAGGGGCUCAGGCCCGCCCUGCACGCGGCCCCCACCGGUCGCUGACGCCGUCACUUGACAGCGCCUGGGACCCGGGACCACGUCCGCGGGCAGGGGUGAGGUGUCCCUGGAGGACGCAGACCCGCCUGCAGUCUGUCCCCUGGCCCGGUCCUGAGCGUUCGGCGGGGCGCCCGCCGCCCUCGGAGCGGGGCCCGGACACGCCCAGACGGCGGCCUGCCCGAUGGACGGGCUUUGGAGGGAGUGGGGGAGACGGCCUUUCCUGCCGGCGGACCUUGGGUUGCGACCUUGCGGACAGUCUUUCCGCUGCUGCGCGCAUCGCCUGCGGUGGUCCCUUCCGUCCCAUCAGGCGAAGACGCCCGAGGGCAAGUCUCGGGGAAGCUUCCUUCUUCCCUUAGUGACAGCCGGCGGUUUUCGGGACGCGGCCUGCGCAGGGCAGCGGGUCGGCAGGGCUGACAACCUGCACAAAGCGCCAUGGCAGUGAGUGGCUGGGCUCUGAGGACCAGCCGUCAGCCUGCCCACCCGACAAGGGGUCAGCCCGCGCUGCUCCUUUCAUUCCCAGUGAAAGGGAUGAAAUCGGAAAACACUAAGAUACAAGCAACUGCCGCUACUCAAGUUUCAGGAAAACACUGUGUCGUGCUUUUGGGAGAGGAAGACAGCUGUGCGCUGCCCGUUCCUGCGGGGGUCCAGUAGGCUGCGAAGCGGCACGAGCUGCAGACGGGAGAGAGCCUGCAGCCCACUCAGCAGUGGGCAAAGACCCCUCCGUCCCCCACAGCUUAGGACCCACGUUCCCGACGACGAGGUCAGCGGAGCCUGGGCCGCUGUCAGAGAGCACGAGGUCUGUGGUCACUGCAGUUCUGGGAGCUAAGUGCUGUCACCACCCCCAUUCUGCAUGGAGAAACGGUCUCUUGGUGACGAUGCACAAGGCCACAUGGUGCUAAGUCGUGGGACUGGGCCUCAAACCCAGGGAAGCGACUCCACGGCCUAUGACCCCCAACCCUAUGACCCCCCAACCCGUGACCUCCUGCCUGCUAAUUAGCAGACUGCAUGCUGAUGACCCUGGGAUUCAGUCAGAGCUCCAACCCCCAUGGGAUGGUGUUAGGAGGUGGGGCCUGUGGGAGGUGAGUAGGGUUAGAUGAGGGCGGCCCCCACAAUGGGAUUCUGGACAUUCUGAGAGGCGGAGACCAGAGCCCCUCCGUCCACCACGUGAGGACGGACACAGUGAGAAGGCUGCUGUCUGAGAGUCAGAAAGCAGGCCCUCCCUGGGAACGGAAUCUUCCUGCCCCCAGGAUGCGAGAAAUAAAGGUCUGUUGUUUAAGUCUCCAUCUGUGGUGUGUGUUUGUUACGUGGCUGGAGCUGAGCCCGCCCAGCACAGGCAGGAGCAGCAGCUCUCAGGCUCUGCAGACUCCAGAGUCGCCCGCCCCCCAUCGCCAGAGCUCGAAUCUCCUCCAGCUCUGGAGCCUUCAUCCCACCUCCAGCACAGACCCCUUGCAGGCCUUCCCUGGGGAGGAUGCGGCAGGGGAGCAAAGACAUCUGUGUUCAAACCUUAGAGGCAUAAUGAAAAGAAAACAAGUUGUUAUGGGAGCAUAGCGUCGAAGUCCA
rnacentral:lncRNA from 1 species